UACGUAGGGGGCGAGCGUUGUCCGGAUUUAUUGGGCGUAAAGAGCGUGUAGGCGGCCAGGUAGGUCUGCUGUGAAAACUCGAGGCUCAACCUCGAGAUGUCAUCGGAAACCAUCUGGCUAGAGUCCGGAAGAGGAGAGUGGAAUUCCUGGUGUAGCGGUGAAAUGCGCAGAUAUCAGGAAGAACACCAAUGGCGAAAGCAGCUCUCUGGGACGGUACUGACGCUGAGACGCGAAAGCGUGGGGAGCGAACAGG
rnacentral:rRNA from 1 species